GAUGAACGCUAGCUACAGGCUUAACACAUGCAAGUCGAGGGGAAACGCCAUUGAAGCUUGCUUCGAUGGUCGUCGACCGGCGCACGGGUGAGUAACGCGUAUCCAACCUGCCUCUGACCAAGGGAUAACCCGUCGAAAGUCGGCCUAAUACCUUAUGCAGUCGUCGGAAGUCAUCUGAUGACGACGAAAGAUUUCAUCGGUGAGAGAUGGGGAUGCGUCUGAUUAGCUUGUUGGCGGGGUAACGGCCCACCAAGGCAACGAUCAGUAGGGGUUCUGAGAGGAAGGUCCCCCACAUUGGAACUGAGACACGGUCCAAACUCCUACGGGAGGCAGCAGUGAGGAAUAUUGGUCAAUGGGCGAGAGCCUGAACCAGCCAAGUAGCGUGCAGGAUGACGGCCCUAUGGGUUGUAAACUGCUUUUAUGAGGGGAUAAAGUGAGGGACGUGUCCUUCAUUGCAGGUACCGCAUGAAUAAGGACCGGCUAAGUCCGUG
rnacentral:rRNA from 1 species